rnacentral:rRNA from 1 species
GACGAACGCUGGCGGCGUGCUUAACACAUGCAAGUCGAGCGGUAAGGCCCUUUCGGGGUACGACGAGCGGCGAACGGGUGAGUAACACGUGGGUGACCUGCCCUCCAGCUCUGGGAGUAAGCCUGGGAAACCGGGGUACUAAUACCGGAUAUGACUCCAUGACGCAUGUUGUGGGGUGGAAAGCCUUGUGCGGCUGAGGAUGGGCCCGCGGCCUAUCAGCUUGUUGGUGGGGUGAUGGCCUACCAAGGCGACGACGGGUAGCCGGCCAGAGAGGGCGACCGGCCACACUGGGACUGAGACACGGCCCAGACUCCUACGGGAGGCAGCAGUGGGGAAUCUUGCGCAAUGGGCGAAAGCCUGACGCAGCGACGCCGCGUGAGGGAUGACGGCCU